CCUACGGGAGGCAGCAGUGAGGAAUAUUGGUCAAUGGACGAGAGUCUGAACCAGCCAAGUAGCGUGAAGGAUGACUGCCCUAUGGGUUGUAAACUUCUUUUAUAAAGGAAUAAAACGAGGCACGUGUGCCUUUUUGCAUGUACUUUAUGAAUAAGGAUCGGCUAACUCCGUGCCGGCAGCGGCGGUAAUGCGGAGGAUCCGAGCGUUAUCCGGAUUUGUUGGGUUUAAAGGGAGCGUAGAUGGGUUGUUAAGUCAGUUGUGAAAGUUUGCGGCUCAACCGUAAAAUUGCAAUUGAUACUGGCAGUCUUGAGUACAGUUGAGGUAGGCGGAAUUCGUGGUGUAGCGGUGAAAUGCUUAGAUAUCACGAAGAACCCCGAUUGCGAAGGCAGCUUACUAAACUGUGACUGACAUUGAUGCUCGAAAGUGUGGGUAUCAAACAGGAUUAGAUACCCGAGUAGUC
rnacentral:rRNA from 1 species